rnacentral:lncRNA from 1 species
AUAAAAAAGAUUCUAUAUGCAUGUGUGAUAAUUCUAUAUUCAAAAAAUCUGAUAUCCCUUUUACAGUAGUUUUUGUGCCAGUUAAAUUAAGUCGAGGGUCCAUUACUGAAGCUAAAAAAAAUAAAGAAGGCAACUCUUCCCAGUAUUUACAAAAUUUUAACUCCAUAGAGCGGACUACAUCAGCAAAAAGUGGCAAAUUCCUAUAUUUAUGAAAUGCUUGUGAAAUGUAGAAAAAAUGUUAUAAAACAAGAGAAGAUGUAGGGUAAUAAACACCGCUACAUUCCUUUGUAGCAUCGAAAAAAGGUUGUAAGAAUUUUUUCACGUAAAAUGCAAUAGUCCAUUCCCAAUCUUCCAAAUUAUGUUCGGGUCCGAGUGUAU